CGGAGGAUCCAAGCGUUAUCCGGAAUCAUUGGGUUUAAAGGGUCCGUAGGCGGGUUUAUAAGUCCGUGGUGAAAGCCCAUCGCUCAACGAUGGAACGGCCAUUGAUACUGUAGAUCUUGAAUUAUUAGGAAGUAACUAGAAUAUGUAGUGUAGCGGUGAAAUGCUUAGAGAUUACAUGGAAUACCAAUUGCGAAGGCAGGUUACUACUAAUGGAUUGACGCUGAUGGACGAAAGCGUGGGUAGCGAACAGGAUUAGAUACCCUGGUAGUCCACGCCGUAAACGAUGGAUACUAGCUGUUCGGAGCAAUCUGAGUGGCUAAGCGAAAGUGAUAAGUAUCCCACCUGGGGAGUACGUUCGCAAGAAUG
rnacentral:rRNA from 1 species